UCCUCUAUGGUCUAGUGGUUAGGAUUUCUGACUCUCACUCAGGAGGCCGGGGUUCAAUUCCCCGUGGAGGAA
rnacentral:tRNA from 1 species